rnacentral:lncRNA from 1 species
UUUAAACCAAGGCAUAAAUCCUGGUACGGAUAUGUAGUCUAUCCCACGAGUUGAUCUAGGUUUGCUCCUUAACACUGCAUGAGCAUAAUCAACUACAUGCUCUUAUUGCUCCCCACAGUUAGCCUUAUUCUCUCCCUUGCUUCUCUCAUAGCUUUAAAUAUCUUGGUAUCUUCCACAUUGGAGGCGGUAACAUGUAUAGACUGUCCUCAGUUGAUUCAUAAAAAUCGAAGUCAUCACCACCACCUUCUUCCCCAUCAACAUCCAUUCCUUCAUCAUGUAACUUCUCAAUCUCUUCUUCCUCAUUAUCUUGUUCUCUACCAUGUGUUCUUCCUCAUCAACUUCUUGUUUCUUGCCAUUUUCUUCUAUAAUAGCUUCUUGCUCCUUAUCAUUUUCUUCUCUUCUUCAACAUCUUGUUUCUCAUUAUCUUCUUCAUCACCUCUAUAUUCCUUGCCAUCUUCUACCAUCGUUUCUAAAUAAGGCUCAUCAUUGCCAAGUUCUUCAACAAAUUCAGGUAUUGGAUCAUGUUAUAAUCAAAGUAAACAUUAAUCUCCUUUCUCGGGUUUGCAAGACAACAUUCAACAACAAAAUAAUGUUAGCAUCAUCCACAAUGAGGUGUAAACCAUCCUCCAUGGUUCUCCUUGUCAUUGCAAAGUGCAUGUCCCCAACCUCAUAAUACUUUUUACACACACCAACUAAGUCCUUUAGCACCCAAGUAAUUGUGGAUUUAGAGAACAAGGACAAUUGGAAGUGGUUUCUCACUUUAUUGUUGGAGGACAUGGGUGACCAUGUGUAUAACAAACUGAAUUUUAUCAGUGACAUGUAGUAUCAUGGACUAAAUUGCUUAUUUAUCAUUUUAUUUAGGGACUUGAAUGCCAACUAGGAGUGAGAAAGGUGUUCAGCAUCAUGACACUUGACUGUUGAUUUGGAAUUUUGUUAUUAGACUCAAUAACAAAAGGACUAGUUUGCCUAAAGGAAGUAUUAUUUUAGGGACUAAUAUGCAAAAAAAAAAAUAAUUCAAAGACCAAUCACCUAGUGCCUUCAAUUUUCAGGGACCUGUUAUGUGCUUCACUCGUUUAUUCAAGUCAUUAAAUUGUAUAUUAAUUUUAGGGGUGGUCAUGGAUUGGAUUUUUCAAAAUACAAUCUAGAUCCAAUAAAAUGGAUUGGAUUUAAAUCCAUAUUCAUAUUAACUAGAUCAAAUUUAUUUGGAUUUUUUCAAAUCUAUUUAAAAUAGAUUAAAUCUAGAUUCAAUUCACUUUGUCAAUUAGAUUAAAUUCAUUUUGUUAAUUAGAUUAAAUCCACUUUGUCAAUUAGAUUAAAUUCAUUUUGUUAAUUAGAUUAAAUCCACUUUGUCAAUUAGAUUAAACCCAUCUCGAUUUGGGCCUGAAGACUCAACUUGACAUGGACUUUGGCCCUCUCGGCUCAACAUCGACUCGGGACGACUCAACCUGUGCCCGGACCGACUUAACUCGACCUGGGCCUGGGUCAAUUUGGCUUUACAUGGACCCGGUGCCGACUUAGCCUUGGUUCGGGGCAACUAAGCUCGACAUGGGCUCGGGCUAACUUGACUCGACAUUGGCUUGGGCUGACUCGACUCAACAUGGGCCCGGGCAGACUCGGCUCGGCAACGACCCGAGCUCGGCUCGACAUGGGUCCGGGCCGACACGGCUCGACAUCGGCCUAGGUCAACUCAGAUCGACAUGGGUCGGACCAACUCAUUUAAAAGAAUUUGAAUGGGGUGUUGAAAUUAGGAAAGAAGAAUGAAAUCUUAAUGUAAAAGGAAAUUUUACAAGGAAAUUUUAAAAGGAAAUAAUUUAAGAUUAUAAAUAGUUUAAUUUGAGAAAAUAAUGAAAAAAAUUAAUUGAACAAGGAAAUUUGAAAGUAAUUUAUUUUUUAAGAUGCCUUAAGGAUGAAGAGAGUAAAACAGUAGACCUUUUCAUUUCACUCUAUUUUAUUGUGUAGAGGUGGAUUAUCUUGUUUGUGAAAUCGUUUUCUUACUAUUAAAUAGCAUGGAUUUCACUAUAAAUUGUAAGCUAAUAUGCAAUUUAGUCCUCUCUAUCUAGUGAUAACUUGUGUUGGGUUGAUCCUUGAGCGUUUUUGUUUAUACAAGUUACGUUGCUGACGUAUGAAAUUGUUAGCAAGUUCAAAACUUGUUUGGGUAAACUUUGGACCAUGUUGACACUUUCGAAGAUUAUUAUGGAUAGAUGCACACUUACUAGGGUCAAAGCAACACAUGUUGCUACUUUUAGGGUCAAAUUGUAUAUUAAAUUGCAAAAUUAUAUAUGAAGUUUUCAACUUAAGGACAAUUAUAAUUGCAUGAGUUUUGUAAAUUCCAACUAGUUUUCGUAACCUUGUACAUCUAAAAAUUUAUUGUGCAUAUUAUCCGGUUGUUUCAUGAGCUGUAAUAAUGUGGUAAAUUGUAGAUUUCAAUGAAAAGUAUAUUUAUGUCAGUUGUUUCUGGCAUUUGGUUGGUUCUGCAGGAUGUUCUACUUCUUCUUCGAAUCGCGCAAUACAAAGGAGGAUCCUGUCGUUAUUUGGUUGACAGGAGGACCUGGGUGUAGCAGUGAAUUGGCUUUGUUUUAUGAAAAUGGUCCUUUCAAAAUUGCUGAUGACUUGUCUCUUGUUUGGAACGAGUAUGGCUGGGACAAGGUAUAUGCCAUUCACUUUAUCAAUGUUAUAUAUGCGUGUGUGUAUGCAAGUAAUGUAAGCAAUCUAAAAUCUAAUUUUGAAUGAAUUCAUGUUGCUUCAUGAGGGAUCAACUUUCCACACAGCUGCCCUCGCCUUAGGCCAUGCCAUCUCCAUUGCAGGGUCAUAAGUUUAAGAUCUUCCUAUCAGAGUAUGCUGACAUAACAUAAAAUUUAAGACACUGGGUUAUAAGACUAAAAAUAAUAUUUUCUAUCUUGAAAACUAUCAACAACCUAAUAAGACAUUAAUUAAUGUGACUAUUAUAAGAUUCUUCCGUUAGAGUAAAAAUGACAAAAAGGUCUUAAAAGUGACGUGACACAUAAGGUUAAAUUAAGACCUCAUAGAAUGACUCUAUGAUCAAAUUUAGGAAUCUCAAUUGAUCUAGGAAUCAAAUUUAAAUUAAUAUAUUUUGUAACUAUUUAUACUUGUAAUUGUUCUUGCUAAGACCGAAUAGACCCCACAAGACCAAACUUUUCUUUCCUUUCUGAAUUCUUCUGCCAAUAUCCUCACUUGAUUACUUGGAAUAUUCUUCUUCUCUUCUUGUCCAAAAGAAGGGAAGGUGCCUGCAAAGACACCUUGACUCUCAAGUCAACAAGGAAUUUGGGUGAGGUAAUAAAUGCGCAAUAAAUGUACCUUGUCAAUACUUGGAAACAGCGUGUAUUUAUUGUAUUUUAACGGGUUUAGUGUUUUGAAACAUUUUGACCUGAUCUACUAUGUUUUAUUAAAAUAGUGAAUCAUUAUUGUGAUAGAGUUGUCAUUAAGGAACAAUGAUAUCUCUUGAUAAAAUAACUUCAAGUUUGUUAUUGAAAUCACUCAUUGAUAUGUUGUUAUUUGAUGUCAUGUUAGUGUCAUAAUGGGGGCUCUGUGUUUUAAGUGACUACUUACUAAUUGUUAAGGUUUUCUAUUGUGUACAUUAUGAUCUAUUAAGAUGCUUCACAUCUUCUUGAAAAGCAGGCAUGAGACGGGAUUCAACUGUCAUACUGAAGCAAACCAAUUUAAUUUGCUUAUGUUUUAGAUUAAAUUUAUUAUGUACAAGAAAAUAUGGGUUUUCAAUAUGUUUUCACAUGGAGGGUUGUCUUCACUGCUAAUUUCUUGACGAGGAUAAAAGUAAACAUGACACCUAAUUGUCAUAACCUAAACUGCUUCUGAAAUGUAUGUUUCAUGUGAAAAUUAUUUAUGGGAAGUAAAAUUUGUUCCUAAUCUUGUAGGCAUCAAACCUUUUGUAUGUUGACCAACCAACUGGAACUGGCUUUAGCUACAGUACUGAUUUGCGCGACAUUCGUCACAAUGAAGAUGGUGUCAGCAAUGACCUGUAUGACUUUAUUCAGGUACUUGUGUUUGUUGUGAAAUAUGAAUAUUAGUUACAUUGUUUUCGUAUUAUGUUCACUUAUUUCCUGCAACUUAUUAUUUGAGUAAACUAUAUUCCCUUUCAUUAAUAGAUACUAAAAUUACACUUCCUUCUCUUAUUUUAAAAUAUACACUUGAUAUACCCAAUUGUCAUCAGCAUAUUAUGUAUACUUCUGUCAAUACUCAUCAUGCUUGCAACAGAAUCUGGGUUAGACCAAAAAUUAAUCAAUCUGUCAUUACCAAGCUGCCUAACGUUGUUUUCCUUUAUUUGAGAAUAAAUUUUCAUUAUACAUUCCCAUAUAGAAGAAAUAACAAAAUUUACCACAGAAUCAUGUUUCAAAAAGCAGCAAGAAUUUUAGACCAAUCCUUAUCUCUCUCGAUGAAUUCACAACAAAGCUUAGCCGUGUAAGCUUCAUUUAUUUGUGUUAUUGAUCUCAAUUCCUGUCCACCCUCUUGAUAACCCAAAACAUAAUUGAGUAGAUCAUGUUGAAUGAUAUCCCAAAAGUUUGAUAAAAAACACUAGAAAAACUAUAUGAACCAGGAGCACUAUCAGAGGAGAGGUUGAAAACAGUUGGUUUAACUUCAAUCAAAGUAGGCCGCUCUAUAAGAAUAUGAUUAUGCAUGUCUAUCAAUAACAAAGGAAUAAAUUAGUGAUAUAAAGUACGUUAGAGCAUAUGUUUGAUGUAGAGAAAGUCUGUGGGAAAUGAUUUACCACGUGUGCCUCAAUGUCGACCUUAUCAAUGAGCAAAGUAUCAUUAUGGAGGUUUUAUUUCUAAAUGUCUUUAUAUCAAGAUUUCUUCCUUACAUUAGUCCCAUAAGGAUUUCUUUGAAGUUGCUGUCUGAGAAAGUGAGUUUUGGAAGCCUUGUUGGUCAAGGCUGCCUCUAUCAGUUUCUUGACUUACUACAUCUUUCGUUUGUAUUUUGUGAUAAGUUUCCUAGUUUCCCAAAUGCUAAAAUUUGAUUUUACACAUCAUAGUUAACACAAGAAACAAAUUUAGUUGGAGAGAAGAAAUUUAAGGAAAUAUUACCAAGGUAAUCAAAGAAUUUUGGAUGCCAUGCCUAAAAUUUAGAGCAGGUUCAUAUCUACACACGUAUGUGUGUGUAUCACAAUACAGGGCAGUAAGAGUGAUAUAUAUGUAGAGACAUAGCAAAACUAAUUUUACACUUAAAAACGUAUUGACAGUUAUUUUCUUUUUCCUUCAGGCCUUCUUUGCAGAGCAUCCUCAAUAUGCAAAAAAUGAUUUCUUUAUUACAGGUGAAUCUUAUGCUGGACACUAUAUUCCUGCUUUCGCAACACGCAUCCAUCGAGGCAACAAAGCUAAAGAAGGAAUUCAUAUAAACCUGAAGGUUUGUUACAUCACGCGAUAAACCGGUCUAACUUCCUCUGUGACAGAAUUUAAUUGAAGGGAAAGAAUAAUUUCUUAUCUUACUAUUAUUGUUUGAACAGGGAUUUGCCAUUGGUAAUGGACUUACUAACCCUGCAAUUCAGUAUAAAGCCUACCCAGAUUAUGCAUUGGAAAUGGGAAUCAUUAAGAAGGCUACACGUAACCGCCUCAACAAAGUACUGGUUCCAGCCUGUGAAUUGGCAAUAAAGCUAUGUGGUAAUAUACAUUUUGGCUUUUUACUUUUUAACAAAUGUUACAUUUCUUGUCACGUUCGAAUUUAUGUAAUGAGUGAGGACUAUGAUGGGUUGAAGAGUCCAACUACCAAAUGUUUGAAUUUGUUUGAUUGAUUUUUUAAGCUCCAACAAAUCAUUUCCAGUAUUAAACCGUAUUUGAAAUAAUGAACAGAAUAUCACUUUUUUUUUAAAAGUUCCAAUUAAGGUUUGUUCGUGAGUUGGCCUUUUGCUCCAUCUACAAGACCUGGAUUUAUAUCCAUUGAUAACCUUUAUUAGACAGUCUAAACUAUAAAAAUUGGGUAAAUUAUUGUGAUUUUGGUAGGGAAGCAUAUUUCCUCAUUUAGUACCCUAAGACUGGGGAGAGAGGAGUUGACAACAUUUCUAUUGAAUGGAUAGAAGAACCUUAGUAUGACUGAUUUUUCUGCGGGGGUAAUGAUAGGAACUGAGAGUUUGGGGCAGUUACUAUGAUUAUUGGUAUAAAGUAGAAGCAGUAUUUUUUUUAUAAAAAGUAUCUGAUAUAGUUCUUCAAUAUAUAAAUUGGGUGGUCUAUUAGUUAGAAAGUCCUAUUUUUCCGACUAUUUGCUAUAUUAUGCAUUAAACCCCAUACACAUAUACACGUGUGUAUGCCAUGUACACAAGAUAUUAUUUUUUAAUAUAUAAUCAUCAUAAAGUUUACUAUUACAAUUUCCUAUUUCUGAAUUAUUUGGAAGCCUAAUGAAAUCCACGGUCAACUCUAGGUAUGAAAGUGUAUAGUAAGAUUACAAGUUUGUUGAUUUCUAGCGAUCACAUCAAUUUUGUAUUUAUUGUCGUGAUCAAGUGAUAAUUCUCACAGGAAGUAAAAGUCAAGAUCACUGCCUGAUUUUCAUUGAAAACCAGUGCUUUCACUUGUUUGGAGCCUGGGUUUGCCUGUUACCCUCUUAAUAUUUGUUUUAAUCCUUUCAGGCACAAAUGGAAAAACUUCCUGCGUGGCUGCAUAUGUAGCUUGUAAUCUCAUAUUCAGUAACAUCAUGUUACAUGCCGGAGACACAAAUGUGAGUAAACAAACUUUUCUGGAGUGGUUGACAGCUGACUUCGUCACCUUUAGUUAAAUUGAUUCAUUCCCCUCUCUACAAGUAGGCAAGUAGAUAAUUAACCAUUUUCCAAGCAAAAAAAUCUUUUGCAUAACAACUUAAUUGUUUCUUAGUUGAGGAAUUUCGUAAAAUAUGUUAAAAAAAAACAUUUAUGCUACUAACAUGUGAGAAAGAAACUCAUCCUAAUAUUUAUGGUCAUUUCGAUCUUGAAGCUAUGUAUUGGUAUAUUCAUAACUGUUACCAGCAACUAAAUAUACUUAUGCUGCAGUACUAUGAUAUCAGAAAAAAGUGUGAGGGGAGCCUUUGCUAUGAUUUUUCAAACAUGGAGAAGUUCCUGAACCAAAAAUCUGUUCGGGACUCACUAGGGGUUGGGAAAAUUCAUUUUGUUUCUUGUAGCACUGAAGUUUAUAUGGCCUUGUUGGUGGAUUGGAUGAGGAAUCUUGAAGUUGGUAUUCCUGCCCUUCUGGAGGAUGGAAUCAAUUUGCUUAUUUAUGCUGGGGAAUAUGAUCUAAUCUGCAACUGGCUUGGUACGUAUUUACUCUUGUCAAGGCAAAGAAUUGAUGAACUUUGCAAUGAAGGGAUUGAUGAACACCUUGCAAUGAGUUUAAGAUCUGUUGUAAAAUUCAAUAUUCAUAUCUAUUAUAGCCUUGCAAUUAAUGGAUUGAUGGACAUUUUCUUGGCAAUGAGUAGGUAAUUCAAGAUGGGUUCACGCCCUGGAAUGGUCUGGUAAGAAAGAAUUUACAACCUCACUUGAAGUUCCUUUUGUUGUUGAUGGGUCAGAAGCCGGAUUAUUGAAGAGCUAUGGACCUCUGAGUUUCCUUAAGGUCUUCUUUUCUCUAUUCACCCACAUAAACUUAUCAACUAUGCACUAUGAAAACUAUCAAUAGCCAUUUAUUUAUCAAAGUCCCUUUUGACUUUGCGCCUGGUCAGUGAAAAUGUUUAUUCAGUUCAAAAUUUUGUGUAACUAAAACAGGUCCAUGAUGCGGGUCACAUGGUUCCAAUGGACCAGCCCAAGGCUGCAUUAGAGAUGCUGAAGAAGUGGACUAAUGGAAACCUUGCUGAAUCUCGAGUUCAAAAGGAAAAAUUGGUUGCUGAGAUGUAAUCUCUUUUAAUACUUAAUUAAUUACUCUUGCAAAUGGGAACAUUAAUGAGAAAUAAUGCAGGGAAGUUUGCAAAAUGUUAUACAUCUCCCAAACUCGCAUAAUUUGUAAAUGACAUUGUACUAUGAGCUUGUAUCAUGGAAUGAAACUAAUAUUCUAAAGGAAUUCCGAAUUUGCUGCUUUAGAUGCUUAUUUUUGUAUUCAUGCUUCGAGUCUAAUAAAAGGUGAAAAUGGUCUUUAGGUUGUAUAAUUUAUACUAUAAUCAAACAUUAACAUUAAAUGAUAUUUAGUGCAUAACGUCAUCUCACUCCUUAAUAUUUUUUUAUCUUCUUAUGAAUUGACAUUCUUAUUCUUAUAAAAUUGUUUAUAUUUUACACAUAAAUGUUUUUCAAUAUAUAAUUAAGUUGGAAGUGCAUUAAGAAUGAGAAGCAAUAAAGAGAUAUCACAUGAAGAAUAAGGUUGUUUCUCCCUGCUACCCUAUCAAAUGACCUCCUGCACCCCAUAAUUUUCAGAAAAUAUCAAUUUGGAAGUUAAAAAAUUACUUCUUUCAGAUUUAUCAUUUUGGAAAUUAAAAAAAUGUGUUCCUGAAAGAAUAUUUCGGAAUGAUUUUUGUCUUACAGAUUUCUUAUUUUGUAAACACAUCUUGCUUACGAAAUUCAUAUUCCAGAAAUACCUUUUGUUUACAAAACCUUUAUUCCAAAAUCAUCCAAAAAAAAUUAUCAAGGAUAAUUCAGGUAUUGCGUAAAAUGUAAGGCUGCAAGAAGAAAAAUGUAGGAGUGAAGAAAAAAAUACCCAUAAAGAAAAUAGUAAAAGGAAACCUCAUUGAUUUCCAAGACAAACAAGACAAUUACUACCAACACCCUAUAAAUGGUGACAUGCACCCAAUGUUUAUAUGAUUUUUUUUCCCCAGUUUCUAGAUUUAAAUUUAUGGAACACUUUUCGGAAUUUUGGAAUGUUUUCCUAAUACAUUAUCAGAUUUUAUUUUCCAAAAUAUAUAUUUUUAAUUCUAAAAUUGUUUUUCAAAAAUAAAAUUUUGAUUUUGCAAUUCUAUUUUAGAAUUUUAUUUUCAAAAUAUAAAAAUUUAUUUCAAAUUUGCUUUUCCAAAAUGUAUCUUUUUAUAUUCAAGAUUUUCAACCAACACAAUAAAUUAAAGGUAACAUCAGACCCUAACGGUUAAGAACACUUGACGAAUCUCUAACUAAUAACACUAAAAAGCGAGGUUGGAAGAAACGAGGUUGGAGCAGCUCAAAAAUGCCUUACUAAGAUCAGGAGUAGGAUUGAAGCCUAAGAUACAACGAAUAACAAGUCAUCUUAUAUCAAUGUAAUGCGAUACGCUCCCCAAAUCAUAUCGUUGGGUCUCAUGCUGCUUCCAAACUGCGGUUAGAAGAAGAGUUUAAGAAAAUGUGAACAUCAAUUUUUCUAAACCGUACUGUCUUCUUUUACAACGGUUAUCUUAAAGAUACAUGUUAAUAUAAUGUAAAAGAAAACUUCAUAAAAACAAAUAUAAGUUAUUAUUUUUUUUCAACAAUCAUUUCCAUCAAUUACUAAUCAGCAUAAAUUCAUAAUUUCAUUCAGUAUUCUCUUGAGUCUCUUCCUUCAUACAAACUAAAUUGAUUUAUGCUGUAAUCCACUGGCCAUUCUCUUCAGUCUUUCCAAUUUUUGUGAAAAUUAGAAUUUGAGUUGCAUCUCAUUAUUUGAGCAGUUGAGUAUACUGAUUUAUUAGUUAUUUUGUCAUUCUUUAUUUGUUUUGCAAUUACAUCUUUUAAUAUUUGUACAUCUUAAGAACAACAAAUCAUUUUGGUUGAAGGAAUAUUAUAGUCAAAUGUGUGAUUAUCAUUAAUUAUUGAGAGUUAAGUUUAUAUUUGAGAUUUGUCAAAUUAUAUUGUGUAUUGAUUAGUGAAUUGAAUAAGUCAGAAGUUAUUAUUUUUAAAACUUUCUCCCAUUAGUUUCUUUAAGAUUUUUUUUAAUUUAUUUGAAAAUUAAUUUUAAUUUUUAAAAAUGGUUAUUUUUUAUUUAUUUUUUCUUGUAGUAAGUGUUUAUGGAAAAUUUACGUUAGUAUAGCAACACUUCCCAAACAGCAAUUAUGAGAUUUUUUAUACGAAUAACCGUGUUCACACAUCUCUCCUUUGCAUUCUUAGCGCAACUAGAUAUCGAAAUAGUAAAAGAAACUUCUUCUACUAUUGUAAGAAAAUAAUUUUUUUUUGGGAUGAAGUGUAAAAGUUGAAGUGCUUUAAUUUUUUUUUGGGAUGAAGUGUAAAAGUUGAAGUGUAAAAGUUGAAGUGCUUUAAGGCAACUGAUGCUGCAUCAAUCGCUUGCAACAUAUUAUAUGAUGAUUCAUUGACAGAAGUUUGAACAAAUUUUGAAAAUUUGGUAGUAAAUUUGGAGUAAAUAUGGAUUCAGAAAAAGUUGUGAUGAUUCUCCUUUGCUGAGAAGAAGAAUGAGAUCUCUUGCAACUUCGAUUUCUUUUCUUGUUUUUCUUUGAAGGACUUUUCUUUGAAGGAAUUGUAGCACGAUCCUCAUUCACAGCUCCACUCGCUUCAUCACGAGAAAUGGGUUCAACUUCUACUUCAAGUGCAGGAUCGACAACUUCAUGCCGAGGAGUGACAUCACUUAUUUUAUUCAGAAACUUGGUAAAGUAAGACCGUGCUCUCGGAUUGAUAGCCGCCUUCAAACCUGAAAGUUAAUAAAACAUUUAGCAAAGUUAAAAUAUCUGCUAUAAAAAAACAAGUGAAACAAGCACAUACCAAUAAAAUCUUUGAGAUUUUUUUGACGUGUACAGUCAUAACAAAGCGCGAGUGGGAAUCUGGUGUGUGAAGUGAUCGAAAACUUCGAUUAUAAGCCGAUCAGCAGCAUCUAUUGAAUGGUAUGACCACGAAUUAAAUUUCAAAGGUUGGUCAAUUCAAUACAAAGGGAAUUUUGGAUAUCUCCAUCAAAAAAGUAUUUCUUUCAUUCUUCUAUCAAAAUCUUUAAAAAAACCUCUUUAAGUCUUUAUACGAAAAAGUAAAGGGUUUAAGAAAACAAAAUCUAAGUUUACUAAUCAAGGACAAUCAUCGUUUGUCAGGCCGAAAAUUAUAGUAAUACAAAAAAGAUUUCCUACUAGAAAAAAGUGAUAGUAAUUUACUAUCACGCAAUAUAGUUACUACUAGGAAAAAGUGAUAGUAAAACCUUGAAUGGAAACCAACCAUUCGAAAAUAAGUUAAUUCAAACACUCAAGAUACAAUUUUUCAUGCAUCAAUCAUUUCACUUUCUAUUAGGGUACUUUGAUAUUUUUUCCUUCAUAAUUACUUACAAAAUCCUGCACAUAAAAUCUAUAAUAAAAAUUAAUAAUAACAAAAUUAAAAAAUUAUUGCGUAGAAUUGCAGGACAUACCAGAAAAAGGUUGAAUAGGAAGAGAAAAAGGAGAUGGUCGAGGAGGUAAACGCAUUGAACCUUGGUUAUCAAACUCGCGAGUAUAGUAGACUCCACUCGUAAAAUGAAAAAAAAAUUUAAAAAUAUUUACUCCAAGUUUUUCCAAUUAAAAAAGAAAGCACUGCAAACAAAAAAUAUCUGCACCUCAAUUAAAUAAAAGAACCCAGUUUAGUGCGGCCCAAUAGAAAAACCCAAUAUGCAGUCCAAUAAAAAAAAGCCCUAAUUUCCUAAAUCACACUACAGAAACCCUAAUUCCAACACCAUCCAUCUCAAUAAUCUUAUAUGAUGAACAACACCACUGUCGACCUGCCACUGCAACCACCACAACCACCGCAACCGCACGAUCGGACGAACCACCACUACCGCACGACCGGACGAACCACCACAAUCGCGCGACCUCUUCUGCAGAAUCACCACCACCGUGGGACCUGCUCCGCUUGAUUGCCACCACCGCCGCACUUGUUCAGAGAAGACGUUUGACCUCCGCACUCCAGAGAAGACGCAACACCAUCAAAACGAAACUCGAACAAAACGAAACUCGAACCCUAAAUGCACAGUUCUGGGUUAAAACAAAAACCCAGUUGAACUCGUCAACUCGGAGCAGACUCGCGAGUUUGAACGAGUUCACCGAGUUCAUUCCGAGUCUGCCAAGUUUACUCUAAAACCGAGUUUACUACCGAGUUAACUCGGUAAGGGUAUCUGGACACGUAAACUCGGACGAGUCAACGAGUUGACUCGCGAGUUUGAUAACCAUGACAUUAAUUAAUCAUUAUUUCUGACUUUUGGUUAACUGUUAGUCCCUCUUUGAGAAUGACAACCAUUAUUUUAAAUUUGUUAGUUCUUUCUAACUUGGAAUUAUGUUUGCUAGGAAAUCUCAAAUUCUGAUCUCCUUGUUCGUUACCAAAUAUUAUUUUUCACUCUCUUGUUAUUUAUGUUUCUUAAUGUGCAGCAAAUUAACCAAUGCAUCAAUAAAAGUCAUUGCUGAGCACUGUCCUGGGUUGGGUGCACUCAAACUUGUGUAUUUGGACAACUUGACGGAUUUAUCCAUGGGAUAUCUUACAAAUAGCUGUCGAGUACUCCAUACAUUGAAGCUCUGCCAUAAUCCAUUCAGGUGCUUUUUUGUUUUCUACUAUUUUCUCUUUCUCUUUAUACAUUUGCACAUUACUUUUGCUAGUUUCUGAUAUUUUCUGUCUCAUUAUAAGUUUGCUAUAAUCUGUCUUAUCUUUGCAAGAUAGAUUCUUUUGUAGGAGGUUACAGCUUUUAAAUAAGAUGAUUAUCUUUGUUCCUGUGGUAAUAUGAAUUCUAUGUAGGAGUGGUUAAUUAAUAAUUAUAAUUUCAAAUUUGUUUUG